AGACGUCUACAUUAGAUACCCGUGUAGUCCCAGCCGUAAACUAUGCGCGUUAGGUGUAUCGGUGACCACGAGUCACCGAGGUGCCGAAGGGAAACCGUGAAACGUGCCGCCUGGGAAGUACGGUCGCAAGGCUGAAACUUAAAGGAAUUGGCGGGGGAGCACCACAACGGGUGGAGCCUUGCGGUUUAAUUGGACUCAACGCCGGGAAGCUCACCGGAUAAGACAGCGGAAUGAUUGCCGGGCUGAAGACUCUGCAUGACUAGCUG
rnacentral:rRNA from 1 species